rnacentral:rRNA from 1 species
GGCAAGUCUGGUGCCAGCAGCCGCGGUAAUUCCAGCUCCAAUAGCGUAUAUUAAAGUUGUUGCAGUUAAAAGCUCGUAGUUGAGCGUUGGUGCGGGCGGAGCGGUGUGGCCUCUGGCCAGUACUGGUCUGCGGGCACUUUAUUUGCGGCGGACGGGUGCCCUUGAGUGGGUGCGUGUUGCGGGCGUGAACGAUUACCUUGAGAAAAAUAGAGUGUUUAAAGCAGGCGAAUGCUUGAAUACCGUAGCAUGGAAUAAUAGAAUAGGACAUUGGUUCUGUUUUGUUGGUUCAGAGGACCAGGGUCAAGAUGAAUAGGGACAGUUGGGGCAUUAGUAUUCAGUAGUCAGAGGUGAAAUUCUUGGAUUUACUGAAGACUGACUAGUGCGAAAGCAUUUGCCAAGGAUGUUUUCAUUGAUCAAGAACGAAAGUUAGGGGGAUCGAAGACGAUCAGAUACCGU